GAUGAACGCUGGCGGCGUGCUUAACACAUGCAAGUCGAACGAAGCACUCUAUUUGAUUUUCUUCGGAAAUGAAGAUUUUGUGACUGAGUGGCGGACGGGUGAGUAACGCGUGGGUAACCUGCCUCAUACAGGGGGAUAACAGUUGGAAACGACUGCUAAUACCGCAUAAGCGCACAGGAUCGCAUGAUCUGGUGCGAAAAACUCCGGUGGUAUGGGAUGGACCCGCGUCUGAUUAGCCAGUUGGCAGGGUAACGGCCUACCAAAGCGACGAUCAGUAGCCGACCUGAGAGGGUGACCGGCCACAUUGGGACUGAGACACGGCCCAAACUCCUACGGGAGGCAGCAGUGGGGAAUAUUGCACAAUGGGGGAAACCCUGAUGCAGCGACGCCGCGUGAGCGAAGAAGUAUUUCGGUAUGUAAAGCUCUAUCAGCAGGGAAGAAGAAUGAC
rnacentral:rRNA from 1 species